UACAGAGGUGGCGAGCGUUAUUCGGAAUUAUUGGGCGUAAAGGGCGCGUAGGCGGCCAAGCAAGUCCUGGGUGAAAUCCCUCGGCUCAACCGAGGAACUGCCUCGGAAACUGCAUGGCUUGAGGCCGGGAGAGGGUAGCGGAAUUCCGGGUGUAGCGGUGAAAUGCGUAGAUAUCCGGAGGAACACCGGUGGCGAAGGCGGCUUCCUGGACCGACACUGACGCUGAGGCGCGAAAGCUAGGGGAGCAAACGGG
rnacentral:rRNA from 1 species